AGCAGCCGCGGUAAUUCCAGCUCCAAUAGCGUAUAUUAAAGUUGCUGCAGUUAAAAAGCUCGUAGUUGAAUUUCGGGAUCAAUAUGUUGGUCGUGCCUCGGUACGUACUAGCUUAUUGGUUUCUUCCUUCUGACGAACCAUAAUGUCAUUUAUUUGGUGUUAUGGGGAAUCAGGACUGUUACUUUGAAAAAUUAGAGUGUUUAAAGCAGGCUCACGCUUGAAUACAUUAGCAUGGAAUAAUGAAAUAGGACGUUUGAUUCUAUUUUGUUGGUUUCUAGGAUCGACGUAAUGAUUAAUAGGGAUAGUUGGGGGCAUUAGUAUUCAAUUGUCAGAGGUGAAAUUCUUGGAUUUAUUGGAGACUAACUACUGCGAAAGCAUUUGCCAAGGAUGUUUUCAUUAAUCAAGAACGAAAGUUAGGGGAUCGAAGACGAUCAGAUACCGUCGUAGUCUUAACCAUAAACUAUGCCGACUAGGGAUCGGAUGAUGUUAAUUUUUUAAUGUACUCAUUCGGCGCCUUAAC
rnacentral:misc_RNA from 1 species